UACUCGGAAUCACUGGGCGUAAAGGGCGCGUAGGCGGAUUAUCAAGUCUCUUGUGAAAUCUAAUGGCUUAACCAUUAAACUGCUUGGGAAACUGAUAGUCUAGAGUGAGGGAGAGGCAGAUGGAAUUGGUGGUGUAGGGGUAAAAUCCGUAGAUAUCACCAAGAAUACCCAUUGCGAAGGCGAUCUGCUGGAACUCAACUGACGCUAAGGCGCGAAAGCGUGGGGAGCAAACAGGAUUAGAUACCCUGGUAGUCCACGCCCUAAACGAUGUACACUAGUUGUUGGGAUGCUAGUCAUCUCAGUAAUGCAGCUAACGCAUUAAGUGUACCGCCUGGGGAGUACGGUCGCAAGAUUAAAACUCAAAGGAAUAGACGGGGACCCGCACAAGCGGUGGAGCAUGUGGUUUAAUUCGAAGAUACGCGAAGAACCUUACCUGGGCUUGAUAUCCUAAGAACCUUUUAGAGAUAAGAGGGUGCUAGCUUGCUAGAACUUAGAGACAGGUGCUGCACGGCUGUCGUCAGCUCGUGUCGUGAGAUGUUGGGUUAAGUCCCGCAACGAGCGCAACCCACGUAUUUAGUUGCUAACGGUUCGGCCGAGCACUCUAAAUAGACUGCCUUCGUAAGGAGGAGGAAGGUGUGGACGACGUCAAGUCAUCAUGGCCCUUAUGCCCAGGGCGACACACGUGCUACAAUGGCAUAUACAAUGAGACGCAAUACCGCGAGGUGGAGCAAAUCUAUAAAAUAUGUCCCAGUUCGGAUUGUUCUCUGCAACUCGAGAGCAUGAAGCCGGAAUCGCUAGU
rnacentral:rRNA from 1 species